CUCAGGCCCCUUGAACUCGGGUAAUACCCUACAUCCAGUUGGUAUUGAUUUCUUUGUGCUGAAUAACGCUGAGCUUGUUACACAGUCGAUGAUACAGGUUGCGAGAGAGGGAGUGCUCCCAAGUCUCAAAAUGUCUAACAAGAGUCCUAUGAAAGAAAAAGAUAAACUGGUCCUAGUCUAAGUUCUUCCUCCUUCCUCUGUCUUGCUGCUGGUGGCUUGAGCGGAGGAGCUACUAGUGUGGAAUGAGCUGAAGG
rnacentral:lncRNA from 1 species